GAGAUCGGUGUAUUUCUCCGGGAACACUUAGUUGCUGACACGGUUUACAGACAUUCAGCACCAACUCAAGCGCCUGCUUUUUUUCCCCAACAUGCACAAUUACACGUCUUCUAGCAGCACACAGGAGUGCACACAAGGGGUGCACACACAUUCAGUAAGCAGGAAAUGGUAGAAACCUCCAGAAGUAGCACUGACCACCGUUUGCAGGCUGGGGCUCUACGGCUAAGUAAACAUCGACGCACGAUUCGCUCGCACGGACUAAGAACUCCGCGGAGGACACUCGGGGACCACACCGGAGAAAGCAGAUUGGUUAACCUUGUGGCCACGAAGCAUGCUGAUGAGAAAUAAAAACAUGAAGAUACAUACUUCCUAGAGGACUGCCAAGUAUCUAGAGAACAUGUAUCACUGGUCACCCAGGGGACAAGAAGCUACAUGGAUUGGCAAAAAUUCUCACCACUACUAUAAGUAGUUCUGGAGGCUGGGAAAUCCAAGAUCAUGACACCAACAGAUUUGGUAUCUGGCAAGAACCCAUUCCUCAGAAGGCCAUCUUUUCUCUGUAAUCUCACAUUGCAGAAGGGGCUUGUGAUAAAAUGUUCCCUACUGAUGAAAAAGAAGAAAAAGUGCUGUGAAUUGAAGAGCUGAGCUCUCUCUGUCAAGGGACUAAUGAUUCUUGCGUUAAAAUGUAAAUGGGGCAGUCUUGAGUGCUUUAAAAUUUGUGAGGAAAGACUGGAAUUGUCAUUAUGGUGUCAUUACUGUGGCUCCCCACAGGAGUGAUUAUAAAGAUGGGGGUGGGGGUGGGAGUAUGAACUGAACCUCAAAGUGCCAGGAGGCUUCCUGCAGAGUUGAGCCCCAUCAGGAGUCUGCCAGGACCAUGAGGAUUGGGGGAUUCUGAAGAAAGCAAGUAAAGAAGACCAAGGGAAUACAUUCCAGAAGGUCAGCCUGGAGAGACAGAGAAGACUGGGAUAGAGGCCCAUGGCCACCGGCCGCAUAGGUAUGGAUGGGAGUGAAAAGACUAUGCUUUAGGGGACAACCAAACUGGAUCAGUCUAGGGCUCAAUCUGAGAAGGAUUUUAUUCUUCCAGAAGCAGAAAAGGGCUCAAAGGCAGUAAAUUGUCCUUGGACUGGGAAGUAAAAAUGUAAUGAACCAAAGUAGAGGUCCAUGCCCUUCUGAAACUAUGAAACUCCUCCCCUCUCCCCCUCAAAACAAAACAAAAGAAAAAGCACAACAACAAGUCACUGACAUAGAAAUGAAAUGAUAAAACUUAAGUAGGGAGUUCUUAUGAUCUGAAAGAAAAGUGUCAACUAGACUACCUGAAAGCAUUUAUUGUUUCAGAUUUGUGCUAAGAGAUUUGAUUAACUCACGAUUAUAUUUGUGAUCUGCCCCUCCACCCCCUGCAACUCUGCUGUUUAUUCCUAAAUUCCUUUACACUGAAGUAAAAUUUA